GUUUGAUCAUGGCUCAGAUUGAACGCUGGCGGCAUGCCUUACACAUGCAAGUCGAACGGCAGCACGGGAGCUUGCUCCUGGUGGCGAGUGGCGAACGGGUGAGUAAUACAUCGGAACGUACCCUGAAGUGGGGGAUAACGUAGCGAAAGUUACGCUAAUACCGCAUAUUCUGUGAGCAGGAAAGAGGGGGAUCGCAAGACCUCUUGCUUUAGGAGCGGCCGAUGUCGGAUUAGCUAGUUGGUGAGGUAAAGGCUCACCAAGGCGACGAUCCGUAGCGGGUCUGAGAGGAUGAUCCGCCACACUGGGACUGAGACACGGCCCAGACUCCUACGGGAGGCAGCAGUGGGGAAUUUUGGACAAUGGGCGCAAGCCUGAUCCAGCCAUGCCGCGUGAGUGAAGAAGGCCUUCGGGUUGUAAAGCUCUUUCGGUGGGGAAGAAAUGGCACGGGUUAAUACCCUGUGUUGAUGACGGUACCCGCAUAAGAAGCACCGGCUAACUACGUG
rnacentral:rRNA from 1 species